CUUCCGUAGGUGAACCUGCGGAAGGAUCAUUAUCGAACAGAAUAGAACAGGGCAGAGGCGACUGUCGCUGGCGGGGUCUUCUCCCGCAUGUGCACGUCCUUCUGCUUUUACUCUAUUCACCCACACUCACACCUGUGCACUUUUUGUAGAUCCCUCCUCGAAAGAAGAGGGAUCUAUGUCUUUAUCAUAUCACCUUCACAUGUAUGGCCAGAAUGAAAAACAUAAUAAAAUACAACUUUCAGCAAUGGAUCUCUUGGUUCUCGCAUCGAUGAAGAACGCAGCGAAUCGCGAUAAGUAAUGUGAAUUGCAGAUUUCCAGUGAAUCAUCGAAUCUUUGAACGCACCUUGCGCUCCUUGGUAUUCCGAGGAGCAUGCCUGUUUGAGUGUCAUCAGAAUCAAUCAACCACGCUUUUCUUCACGGAAGAGCAUGGCUUGGAGUUGGGGGUUGCUGGCGUUCACCGUCAGCUCUCCUUAAAUGCAUUAGCGAUCGAAUCGGGCUAGUCUUUCGACGUGCACGGCCUUGGACGUGAUAAUGAUCGUCCUGGGCUGGAGCGUUUGGUUGGCAUGACAUAGAUCGAUCGCAAAAAAAA
rnacentral:rRNA from 1 species